UGGGGAAUCUUGGACAAUGGGGGCAACCCUGAUCCAGCCAUGCCGCGUGAGUGAUGAAGGCCUUAGGGUCGUAAAGCUCUUUCGCCUGUGAAGAUAAUGACGGUAGCAGGUAAAGAAACCCCGGCUAACUCCGUGCCAGCAGCCGCGGUAAUACGGAGGGGGUUAGCGUUGUUCGGAAUUACUGGGCGUAAAGCGCACGUAGGCGGACCAGAAAGUUGGGGGUGAAAUCCCGGGGGCUCAACCCCGGAACUGCCUCCAAAACUAUUGGUCUAGAGUUCGAGAGAGGUGAGUGGAAUUCCAAGUGUAGAGGUGAAAUUCGUAGAUAUUAGGAGGAACACCAGUGGCGAAGGCGGCUCACUGGCUCGAUACUGACGCUGAGGUGCGAAAGUGUGGGGGAGCAAAACAGGAUUAGAUACCCUGGUAGUCCACACCGUAAAACGAUGAAUGCCAGUCGUCGGGGUAGCAUGCUAUUCGGUGACACACCUAAC
rnacentral:rRNA from 1 species